rnacentral:ncRNA from 1 species
GCCGGUGCAAUUCCGGCACGGUCGCGCCACUGUGUGCCCCCGGCCCCGGCCGCGGGUGAGUCAGA